rnacentral:misc_RNA from 1 species
UGGAGGUGCAAGCCCCUUCUGGAAAAAGCUAGAUAUAAUAAUUCCUAUUUAUUUAUUUAAGAUAACAGCAACCUUUGAUGUCUCAAACAUGACAGACAGCAUGUAGGCAAGGGCAGGGUUGUUCAGAAAAUGAAAAUACAGAAAAAUCACUCCUGAAGUGCAUACACUAUAAAAUUUUGAGUCAAGAUGUUCAAAUUUGUCAGAUGCUGGUAAAAAAUUCCCUAAACAUCCAGGAGAGAGAAGGAACAAAAAUUUCUAGGUGAGAAAAGGCGAUGGUGAAUUUUUACUGAAAUGUUGUAAAACAAUAAUACACAUUUAAUAAAAUUUUCAAAUGCCAUGCCACAGGGAGCUUUAGUCUUUGUAUAAAGGUGUUGUGCAAUUCACCCGCACCAAAUCAAAAGGAACAUAAAAUUUAACGUGAUUUAGCAUAAGUCUGCUCCACCAAACAAAUACACUAACAAAGGAAAAAUAAUUACAAAUACUAAUUA